rnacentral:lncRNA from 1 species
AGUCUUUUUUUUUUUUUUUUUUUUUUUUUUUUUUUUUUUUUUUCUUUGAGGGUUUUGGCCUAGUCCCUCUUCUCCUUGUAUAUUUUUCCCCCUUUUUUAAUAAAAUUUUGGCUAAAAUAUGCAUUUCAUCCCUUUUUUUUUUUUUUUUUUUUUUUUUUUUUUUUUUUUUUUUUUUUUUUUUUUUUUUUUUUUUUUUUUUUUUUUUUUUUUUUUUUUUUUUUUUUUUUUUUUUUUUUUUUUUUUUUUUUUUUUUUUUUUUUUUUUUUUUUUUUUUUUUUUUU